rnacentral:lncRNA from 13 species
GCCCGUGGGCUGUGGGCCAGGAGUGACAGAGCAGGUGGUCUGAGGAGGGGGUGGAGACCAUCCAGGGGGAGGGAAUGGCCGGGGACACGCCUGGGGGCACAAGAGUGUGGUCUCAUGGGUGGAGCCGUGUCCCCAGGCCAAUUUGACCCAUGUAGCCUGAGCCCCUCCCCUCCGGCCCCUCUCUCCCCUACCUCCUCUCAUUCAGCUCUGCCCAUGAGACCACACUCUCAUGCCCCAGGCCUGUCCCUGGGACGGUCCCUACCUCAUCUCCUCAGACCACCUGCUCUGUGACUCCUGGCCCGUGACCCAUGGGCUCAGAAGCCUGUGCCCAGCCCUGGCCAGGGACGUCCGCUUGUCACAGCCCACCCCCUCCUCUGCCCCUGCUCUUCCUGGGGCUGCCUCUGGGAGGUGAUUCGUCCACACUCCCGCCCCACCCCAGGGCAGGCCACAAGGCCCUUACCUGUCACAGCCAGAGACUUUCUGCGGACGCUGAGCUUGGCUGCCUCCUCUCCCUGGCCCACAGCUUUCUGUGCCUCCUGACGGGGGGGUCAGGAGACGCCUUCGGCUGCUGUGGGUGCCAGACAGCGGGAGCGAGGAGCACCCAGACUGCGCAGCCCCACCUGGAGCUCCGUGGGGCCAGGCCAGAGACCAAGAACUGGGCACCGGGAACCCUGGUUUCAGCCUCCUCCUUGGCCACCCCAGAGCCUAAGUUUCUCCUCUAGGAAUGGAGUGAUCACCCCAACCCCAGGUUCAGAGAAGAGGGCCACACAGAGGCACGUGGUAGGCCCGUGAGAAGGCCCAUCCUCCUUCUCCCUGGGGUGUCGGACCAGCUGAGCCAACUCCUCCUUCUCCCUUUAGGCCAUACCUCUGGUGAUAUGACAGGCCUUGGUGACUGGGUGGUCUGGCUGCCUCGCCCACCUCCAGAUCCUUCACCUGGGUAGGCAAAGUUGGGAUCAGGGAAGGAGCCCUUGGUCCUGCCAGUCCGUGCCCCCACCCCAGCUACUGUGCCCAUACCCUGCCGGCAAGACAGCCACCUGUGCCCCAUCCAUCCCCUGCUCAUCAGAGCCGGGUGGGGCUCCAGGCCCCAAAUCUGCCUCCCAGCAGGGAUGACAAAACCACAGUCACUGCCGCUGCCCCUACAGAGCCCUGCUGGUCCGCAGGACACGGAGUUGGAGGCGUAGGGCCCCCGCCCAGCUCUGUACCCUCCUCCAGCUCCACGCCCCCCACCAGCCGAGGGGCUGAGUCGUGGGCAAGAAUAGAAUAAACAGCUUUAAUUCCGGCUGAGGACA